AUGGUGACAACCUGCAAAGUGCAAGUGCACCAGCCCUUCCCCCUUCGACGAAAUCCUGGCCUUUGGGACUGCAGGAUCAGUAAUGAGCCAAGACGGACUACACCUAGAACAUCUGGUAAAGUCAAAUACUGUUUUGCUGAAGAGUCAAAAGUGAAAUUUGACUAUCAGCUUCUUAGAGACCCUUGAUGCCAUUUACUCUUAGACAUCUAACUCA
rnacentral:lncRNA from 1 species